rnacentral:rRNA from 1 species
GACGAACGCUGGCGGCGUGCUUAACACAUGCAAGUCGAACGGUGAAGCGCCUUCCUUUUUGGUGGGUGUGGAGGGGCGGCGAAGGGGGGAGUAACACGUGAGUAACCUGCUCCCUCCUUCUGAAUAACGGCAUGAAGGUGUGGCUAAUACGGGAUAUUCUGGGCCGGUCGCAUGAUGGGUCUGGGAAGGAUUUUGUUUCGGUGGGGGAUGGGCUCGCGGCCUAUCAGCUUGUUGGUGGGGUGAUGGCCUACCAAGGCGGUGACGGGUAGCCGGCCUGAGAGGGUGGACCGCCACACAGGGGCGGAGAGGCGGACCAGACUACUACGGGAGGCAGCAGGGAGUAUUAUUGCACAGUGGGCGGACUGCUGGUGCAGCGACGCCGCGUGAGUGAUGGAGGCCUUCGGGUUGUGAACCUCUUUCGCGAGUGAAGCAGGCCUGCCUCGUUUGUGGGUGGGUUGACGGUAGCUGGAUAAGAAGCGCCGGCUAACUACGUG